rnacentral:tRNA from 1 species
GCGCCUAUAGCUCAACUGGAUAGAGCGCUUCCCUCCGAAGGAAGAGGUUGCUGGUUCGACCCCGGCUAGGCGCA